CCUACGGGUGGCUGCAGUGGGGAAUAUUGGACAAUGGGCGAAAGCCUGAUCCAGCCAUGCCGCGUGUGUGAAGAAGGCCUUCGGGUUGUAAAGCACUUUCAGUGGGGAAGAAAGCCUUGGGGCUAAUACCCUCGAGGAAGGACAUCACCCACAGAAGAAGCACCGGCUAACUCCGUGCCAGCAGCCGCGGUAAUACGGAGGGUGCGAGCGUUAAUCGGAAUUACUGGGCGUAAAGCGCGCGUAGGCGGUCUGAUAAGCCGGUUGUGAAAGCCCCGGGCUCAACCUGGGAACGGCAUCCGGAACUGUCAGGCUAGAGUGCAGGAGAGGAAGGUAGAAUUCCCGGUGUAGCGGUGAAAUGCGUAGAGAUCGGGAGGAAUACCAGUGGCGAAGGCGGCCUUCUGGACUGACACUGACGCUGAGGUGCGAAAGCGUGGGAAGCAAACAGGAUUAGAUACCCGUGUAGUC
rnacentral:rRNA from 1 species